AGGAUUAACGCUGGCGGCGUGCCUAACACAUGCAAGUCGAACGAGGUAGCAAUACCUAGUGGCAGACGGGUGAGUAGCGCGUGGUCAACCUACCGUUGAGUGGGGGAUAACUAGCCGAAAGGUUAGCUAAUACCGCAUACGAGUCUCGGGGGCAUCCCUGGUCCUUAAAAGGAGCAAUCCGCUCGAUGACGGGACCGCGUCCCAUUAGCUAGAUGGUGGGGUAAUGGCCUACCAUGGCUCCGAUGGGUAGCUGGUUUGAGAGAGCGACCAGCCACACUGGGACUGAGAAACGGCCCAGACUCCUACGGGAGGCAGCAGUGAGGAAUUUUCCGCAAUGGGCGAAAGCCUGACGGAGCGACGCCGCGUGUGGGAAGAAGGCCUUCGGGUCGUAAACCACUGUCGAAGGGGACGAUAAUGACGGUACCCUUGGAGGAAGCCCCGGCUAACUACGUGCCAGCAGCCGC
rnacentral:rRNA from 1 species